rnacentral:rRNA from 1 species
AGUGAACGCUGGCGGUAGGCCUAACACAUGCAAGUCGAGCGGCAGCACAGUAAGAGCUUGCUCUUACGGGUGGCGAGUGGCGGACGGGUGAGGAAUACAUCGGAAUCUACUUUUUCGUGGGGGAUAACGUAGGGAAACUUACGCUAAUACCGCAUACGACCUACGGGUGAAAGCAGGGGAUCUUCGGACCUUGCGCGAUUGAAUGAGCCGAUGUCGGAUUAGCUAGUUGGCGGGGUAAAGGCCCACCAAGGCGACGAUCCGUAGCUGGUCUGAGAGGAUGAUCAGGCACACUGGAACUGAGACACGGUCCAGACUCCUACGGGAGGCAGCAGUGGGGAAUAUUGGACAAUGGGCGCAAGCCUGAUCCAGCCAUACCGCGUGGGUGAAGAAGGCCUUCGGGUUGUAAAGCCCUUUUGUUGGGAAAGAAAAGCAGCAGGUUAAUACCCCGCUGUUCUGACGGUACCCAAAGAAUAAGCACCGGCUAACUUCGUG